rnacentral:rRNA from 1 species
GAUGAACGCUGGCGGCGUGCCUAAUACAUGCAAGUCGAGCGAACAGACGAGGAGCUUGCUCCUCUGACGUUAGCGGCGGACGGGUGAGUAACACGUGGAUAACCUACCUAUAAGACUGGGAUAACUUCGGGAAACCGGAGCUAAUACCGGAUAAUAUAUUGAACCGCAUGGUUCAAUAGUGAAAGACGGUUUUGCUGUCACUUAUAGAUGGAUCCGCGCCGCAUUAGCUAGUUGGUAAGGUAACGGCUUACCAAGGCAACGAUGCGUAGCCGACCUGAGAGGGUGAUCGGCCACACUGGAACUGAGACACGGUCCAGACUCCUACGGGAGGCAGCAGUAGGGAAUCUUCCGCAAUGGGCGAAAGCCUGACGGAGCAACGCCGCGUGAGUGAUGAAGGUCUUCGGAUCGUAAAACGCUGUUAUUAGGGAAGAACAAAUGUGUAAGUAACUAUGCACGUCUUGACGGUACUGAAUCAGAAAGCCACGGCUAACUACGU